rnacentral:rRNA from 1 species
UAGCGUAGGGUGCAAGCGUUAAUCGGAAUUACUGGGCGUAAAGCGUGCGCAGGCGGUUUUGUAAGUCUGUCGUGGAAAUCCCCGGGCUCAACCUGGGAAUUGCGAUGGAGACUGCAAGGCUAGAAUCUGGCAGAGGGGGGUAGAAUUCCACGUGUAGCAGUGAAAUGCGUAGAGAUGUGGAGGAACACCGAUGGCGAAGGGCAGCCC